UUGGGUCCAGUCUUGUUCAACAUCUUCAUCAACAUGGAUGAAGGAACAGAGUCCACCCUCAUAAAUUUUCCUGCUAAAGCAAAGCUGUGAAGGUUGGCUGACACACUGGAAGGCUGUGCUUCCAUUCAGUGAAACCUGGACAGACUGGAGAGAGCAGGGAGGAACUGAUGAGCAGGAGUGAAGUCUUGCACCCGAGGAGGAAUCACCGCAUGCAUCAGUACAGAUCCUGGCAGAUCUAGCAGAGGAGUAUCCAUGCUUUAAACUCAUAGAGGAGUCACUUCCAUCAAUUAUUUUCUGCACAGAAAUGUUAAUAUCUAAACACGGGGAAGAACUGGAAUCCUGUGCUCUGUAGGGCAGCACAUCAGCAUAUCACCUUGUUGGGAGCACAGCUGCAGGGAGAUGAUGUUCUUUCACCACAUUGCUCUUUGGUGGGUGCAAGACUGAUGCUGCUCAGAUACAAGAUGAAUAAACAGCAUGUGACAGCUAUAUAAAACUGGAAAAGUUUCUCUUCUGAGAAUUGGGACAGUAAAAAAGGUGAUAUUCACUGGGAGCAGAAGAUUGAUAAUGAUUGCUUCUUUGUGGAGUUCUGGUGUCAAGCCUCAAUGUUUUCCAUCUUGUCUGAAGGCCUCAGAGUUGGCAUUUUAAGCCAACACGAUGGCCAUGGGCUGCCUCCUCCAGUAUCUGCCCUUGUUCUCGUGCUCCUAAGCAAAACCAGGAAACAGCACUGGUCAUCACCAUGUCUGCUAAACAAAUAUGACUUUCUCUCCUUUGACAACAAAAAUCACCUGCACCAGACACCAAAGCAAUGCUGCAGAGCAGCUGAAACAUGCGGCCAAAACUCUCCUUGAGAACAAAGGCAAAAUGGAGCUUCAACAAGGCUGAGAUCUCAGGUAAAGCUUCUCACUCCAGAUAUGCCUAUGGUGGGAUGUUGCUCACAGGAGCAGAGUGUUUGAGCCAGACUGGGUACCGUGAGACCUUCCUGACAAGCCAAAAGGCUGUGCUGCCACUCAACAGGUCCUGGACAGGAUGGAGAGUUGAACAGAAAGGAAACUGAUGAGAGUCAGCAAGUACAAAUGUAGAGUCCUACACCUGGGAAGGAACAACUGCAUGCAACAGUUUGGCCAUGACCCAGCAGUGUGCCCUGGUGGCCAAGAAGACCGAUGGCAUUCUGGGGUGCAUUACAAAGAGCAUGGCCAACAGGACAAGGGA